UACGUAGGGGGCGAGCGUUGUCCGGAUUUAUUGGGCGUAAAGCGCACGUAGGCGGCAUUGCAAGUCCCAUGUGAAAUCCCACGGCUUAACCGUGGAAGUGCAUGGGAAACUGCAGUGCUUGAGUACUUAAGAGGAUCGCGGAAUUCCCGGUGUAGAGGUGAAAUUCGUAGAUAUCGGGAGGAACACCAGUGGCGAAGGCGGCGAUCUGGGAAGAUACUGACGCUGAGGUGCGAAAGCGUGGGGAGCAAACAGG
rnacentral:rRNA from 1 species